AUUGAACGCUGGCGGCAGGCCUAACACAUGCAAGUCGAGCGUAGCGGCUGACGGGUGAGUAAUGACUAGGCAUCUGCCUGGUAGUGGGGGAUAACGUCCGGAAACGGGCGCUUAUCCUUCAUACUAUUAGCUGUGCCUAGGUCGGAUUAGCUAGUUGGUGGGGUAAAGGCCUACAACGGCGACGAUCCGGAACUGGUCUGAGAGGAUGAUCAGUCAGACUGGAACGGAGACACGGUCCAGACGCCUACGGGAGGCAGCAGUGGGGAAUAUUGGACAAUGGGCGAAAGCCGGAUCCAGCCAUGCAGCGUGUGUGAAGAAGGUCUUCGGAUUGUAAAGCACUUUAAGUUGGGAGGCGUUACCAACAGAAUAAGCACCGGCUAACUUCGUGCCAGCAGCCGCGGUAAUAC
rnacentral:rRNA from 1 species